rnacentral:lncRNA from 1 species
CAGCAUACCUCUCAGUAAUGCCACAGGCAAUGCCUUCAGAAACUCUUUCUUCUAUCAGAAAUCAAAGAACAAACUAUUUGUUCUAAGAGAUUGCCUGGGCUCUGUAGGAAGCUUCCUUUUGCUCCUGGUGCACUGUUUCGCUCAUAUCACUGCCACUGACUUCAAUGAGGACUCCAACCCAGCCUUUCUGAGGGUUUUUUUAUCAGGCACUAAAGGCUUGUCUCAGUGAAAUGUUCUCCCUCAGACUCCAGAUGUCAGCAGUUCUCCAGGGUGAUAAAUCCUCUGGAAUAAAUGAGAUGGUGCUGAAGGCAGAACCGUUCUCUGAAGAAGAAAUAAACCUCAUCUCCCAGCUUUUUGAGGUGAAAGUGAAAAGCCUCACAGAGAUGGAAACCUUUGAAGAGGAGAACAGGAACCUCGUGCUCCAUAUGAAACUUGAGGAGCCACUAAGUGACAAGUUGUCUGUGAAGAGAAAAGAAUAUUUCCUUCAUGCCUUAAACAGCCAUGAAAAGAACAGCUUUGAACAUAGGACAUGGUGAGAAUGAC